rnacentral:rRNA from 1 species
ACGGGAGGCAGCAGUGGGGAAUAUUGGGCAAUGGGCGAAAGCCUGACCCAGCAACGCCGCGUGAAGGAUGACGGUCUUCGGAUUGUAAACUUCUUUAAUUGGGGAAGAAUAAAUGACCUACCCAAAGAAUAAGUCACGGCUAACUACGUGCCAGCAGCCGCGGUAAUACGAGGGGUGCAAGCGUUGUUCGGAAUCACUGGGCGUAAAGGGAGCGUAGGCGGAGACGCAAGCAGUCUGUACAAUACCGGGGCCCAACCCCGGACCUGCAGACUGGACUGUGUCUCUUGGAUAGUUCAGGGGCAGGCGGAAUUCCUGGUGUAGCGGUGGAAUGCGUAGAGAUCAGGAAGAACACCGAUGGCGAAGGCAGCCUGCUGGGGACUCAUCGACGCUGAGGCUCGAAAGUGCGGGUAGCAAACAGGAUUAGAUACCCUGGUA